GGAGUUUGGGCCGUGUCUCAGUCCCAAUGUGGCCGGUCACCCUCUCAGGUCGGCUAUGGAUCGUCGGUUUGGUGGGCCGUUACCCCGCCAACUGCCUAAUCCAACGCGGGGCCAUCCCAUACCACCGGAGUUUUUACCCCUGCACCAUGCGGUGCUGUGGUCUUAUGCGGUAUUAACAGUCGUUUCCAACUGUUAUCCCCCUGUACAGGGCAGGUUACCCACGCGUUACUCACCCGUCCGCCACUCGGAAUACCGAUUCCAUCCGAAAACUUCAUCAGUAUUCCUCGUUCGACUUGCAUGUGUUAAGCACGCCGCCAGCGUUCAUC
rnacentral:rRNA from 1 species